CCUACGGGUGGCAGCAGUGGGGAAUAUUGCACAAUGGGGGAAACCCUGAUGCAGCGACGCCGCGUGAAGGAAGAAGUAUUUCGGUAUGUAAACUUCUAUCAGCAGGGAAGAAAAUGACGGUACCUGACUAAGAAGCCCCGGCUAACUACGUGCCAGCAGCCGCGGUAAUACGUAGGGGGCAAGCGUUAUCCGGAUUUACUGGGGGUAAAGGGAGCGUAGGCGGCGAUGCAAGUCAGAAGUGAAAGCCCGGGGCUCAACUCCGGGACUGCUUUUGAAACUUUGUUGCUAGAUUGCAGGAGAGGUCAGUUGCAUUCCUAGUGUAGCGGUGACAUGCGUAGAUAUUAGGAGGCACACCAGUGGC
rnacentral:rRNA from 1 species